rnacentral:lncRNA from 1 species
CAUUUGCAAGAUGAAUCGUGUUUUUGUAGAUGUGUAAUUAGUUCUUAUUUGACGUAGCUUGAUGACAGAUUAUGAAUUAUUCGUGAAACAGUAUCGUUUGGAUUACAUGCAUCAUAGUUUUUUGACUUUCCAAUAACUGUUCUUUUUUACGUACAAAAAAUUCCUUAUUGUUGUCUUCAGUCUCGGGAUGUACAAUUUUUAAAUCUCGACGCAACUUCGCGGGUUCCAUGGAACUAUUAGAAAGCAGUUUACUACACAGCAUGCAGAAAGGCCACCAGAUAGUGAACAGUUUCCUUGGAGUAUCCCGAUUUCAUCAUCCAUUUUUGUACCUCAGGAAUUUUCGUAGAUACUCCCUUGGAGUAACAAGAUAUUGCUUAGUGUGAAACGUAACAUCCGGCACCAGCCAUUUGCAAUUGUUGCAAAAGUAGAGGGUUUGAGAGUAAGCUGUUCGAGCCUCCGCAUAACUUUGCACACAUUCUAGCCUUCAUUUUACUCAACAAUCCCAGUGUAGGAGACAGUGAAAUGGACACUGGUGCAGCAGGUGCACAAGGGUUGGGUAAACCAGGGAUACAAGGUGGAGGGUAUGCAGGUGGUGCAGGUGGUGGCAACAAAUUAGCAAGUUUUGCA